AGAGUUUGAUCAUGGCUCAGGAUGAACGCUGGCGGCGUGCCUUUAAGCAUGCAAGUCGAACGAUUUCAGUAGCAAUAUUGUUUUAGUGGCAGACGGGUGAGUAAUAUAUAGGAAUCUACCUCUACGUGGGGGACAGCUCGCCGAAAGGCGGGGUAAUACCGCAUAUGGCCUACGGGUUAAAGUCCUUAACCGGACGCGAAGAGAGGAGCCUGUAUCCUAUCAGCUAGUUGGUGAGGUAAUGGCUCACCAAGGCUACGACGGGUAGGGGGUGUGAGAGCACGACCCCCCACAAGGACACUGAGACACGGGUCCUACACCUACGGGUGGCAGCAACUGGGAAUCUUGCGCAAUGGACGAAAGUCUGACGCAGCGACGCCGCGUGUGGGAAGAAGGCCUUCGGGUCGUAAACCACUGUGGAAGGGGAAUAAAAAAAUGAAGGUACCCUUCUAGAAAGCACCUGCUAACUACGUGCCAGAAGCCUCGGUAAUACGUAGGGUGCAAGCGUUAUCCGGAUUUAUUGGGCGUAAAGCGUUCUGUAGGCGGUUUUGUAAGUAUGUGGUUAAAGGCUUCGGCUCAACCGAAGACAUGCUGUGUAAACUACAAGACUAGAUGGUUAUCGGGGGUAUCGGAAUUCUCGGUGGAGGGGUGAAAUCCGUUGAUAUCGAGAGGAACACCAAAGGCGAAGGCAGAUACCUAGGUAAUUCAUGACGCUGAUAGACGACAGCUAGGGGAGCGAAAGGGAUUAGAGACCCCUGUAGUCCUAGCCGUAAACGAUGGACACUAGCUGAUCGGAUUUUUCUGGUCGGCGUAAGCUAACGCGUUAAGUGUCCCGCCUGGGAAGUACGGCCGCAAGGCUAAAACUCAAAGGAAUUGACGG
rnacentral:rRNA from 1 species